rfam:Tupaia chinensis contig8788, whole genome shotgun sequence.
GUGAUUAAUUCAGCAGCACACAUACCAAGUGAAAUAAUACAGAGAUUAGGUUGGCCCAUGCACAAAUUUGACUCACAGAUUGAUGAAUCAAUCCAUAUUUUU